rnacentral:sRNA from 1 species
ACAGAGAGAAGGCAGCCAUCUGCAAGCCAGGAAUAGAGCCCUCACCAGAGACCUAAUUUGCCAGUAUCUUGAUCAUGUACUUCCAGCCUCCAGAACUGUGAGAAAAUACAUUUCUGUUGUUAAGCCACCCAAUCUGUGGAUUUUGUUAUGGAAGCCCAAGCAAACUAAUACAGGUGUUAUUUGGAAGAUGGAGCUUCAAAGGGUGCCUGGCUGAACCGGUCAAGUAUUAUCUUUGCGGGAGGUGAUAAGUGGUCAGUGGAUCCUCGAGUUUCAAUUUCAACAUUGAAUAAAAGGGACUACAGCCUCCAGAUACAGAAUGUAGAUGUGACAGAUGAUGGCCCAUACACGUGUUCUGUUCAGACUCAACAUACACCCAGAACAAUGCAGGUGCAUCUGACUGUGCAAGUUCCUCCUAAGAUAUAUGACAUCUCAAGUGAUAUGACCAUCAAUGAAGGAACCAACGUCACUCUUACUUGUUUGGCCACCGGGAAACCAGAGCCUUCCAUUUCUUGGCGACAUAUCUCCCCAUCAGCAAAACCAUUUGAAAAUGGACAAUAUUUGGACAUUUAUGGAAUUACAAGGGACCAGGCUGGGGAAUAUGAAUGCAGUGCGGAAAAUGAUGUGUCAUUCCCAGAUGUGAGGAAAGUAAAAGUUAUUGUCAACUGUAAGUGUCACCACCUUUUAUCAAGAUAAGUUCUGAGAAAAGAUAAAACACCUUGAAAAAUU